rnacentral:rRNA from 1 species
AGUAAUACAUCGGAACGUGUCUUCUUAGUGGGGGAUAACUGCCCGAAAGGGCAGCUAAUACCGCAUGAGACCUGAGGGUGAAAGCGGGGGAGUCGCAAGACCUCGCGCUGGAAGAGCGGCCGAUGUCCGAUUAGCUAGUUGGUGAGGUAAAGGCUCACCAAGGCGACGAUCGGUAGCUGGUCUGAGAGGACGACCAGCCACACUGGGACUGAGACACGGCCCAG